UACGUAGGGUGCAAGCGUUGUCCGGAAGUAUUGGGCGUAAAGAGCUCGUAGGCGGUUUGUCGCGUCUGCUGUGAAAACCUGAGGCUCAACCUCAGGCCUGCAGUCGAUACGGGCGGACUUGAGUACUGCAGGGGAGACUGGAAUUCCUGGUGUAGCGGUGAAAUGCGCAGAUAUCAGGAGGAACACCGGUGGCGAAGGCGGUUCUCUGGGAAUAUCCUGACGCUGAGGAGCGAAAGUGUGGGGAGCGAACAGG
rnacentral:rRNA from 1 species